UAGGGAAUCUUCGGCAAUGGGGGCAACCCUGACCGAGCAACGCCGCGUGAGUGAAGAAGGUUUUCGGAUCGUAAAGCUCUGUUGUAAGAGAAGAACGUGUGUGAGAGUGGAAAGUUCACACAGUGACGGUAACUUACCAGAAAGGGACGGCUAACUACGUGCUAG
rnacentral:rRNA from 1 species